UACGGAGGGUGCAAGCGUUAUCCGGAUUCACUGGGUUUAAAGGGUGCGUAGGUGGGCAGUUAAGUCAGUGGUGAAAUCUCCGGGCUCAACCCGGAAACUGCCAUUGAUACUAUCUGUCUUGAAUAUCGUGGAGGUAAGCGGAAUAUGUCAUGUAGCGGUGGAAUGCGCAGAUAUCAGGAGGAACACCAAUAGCGAAAGGCAGCUCGCUGGGACGUUACUGACACUGAGGCGCGAAAGCGUGGGGAGCGAACAGG
rnacentral:rRNA from 1 species